CAUGAGUAAACAAUAAAAAAUGUAUUGUUCUUUCAGCUCUUGCUUCGUGCAACUCCCAGCUCAGGAUCUGUCGACAUUGACAAUGUUCGAUUUUGCGAUACAUGCAAUUAAAAGGUAUAGUGCAAUCUGUUGAACGACUUGCAUGUUAUAAAUUCUCUGAAUAUUUAAAACAGUCGAGUAUGCUACCGUUUGCAAUCCACUUUGAACUAUAUGAAAUAUGUGAGAUCUCUAUAGAUGAGCAAUGAUGCUCUUAGAACAAACGCAAAUUAUGUUUAUUAAAUGUGAUGUAAAGUCCGUAAUGUAAACAAACGCUUUGUUUACAUUUUGAACUCAGUGCUACAGUUGUAAAAUAUGAUUAGAUAUAUAUUAUACUGAAUUUUUGACACUCUUCUGGUUCGCUAUGCUUGUAAAUGAAUGCAGACUAGAGAUUCAAUUCAAGAAAGUUCGGAAGGUGCGAAAUAUUAACAACAUUCCAAAGGUUGUUCCCCCAACACCGCGGAAAAACGUCUGCACAUGCACCAAAUUAUGAAAAUAUGGCGGGGAAUUUGAAUAUCAAUUUCUAAAACAAAAACAUGCUUAUUAAUUGGUCAAAAAUUAGUAAAAUAAACGAGAAAAUAUAGCAAAUGGGUAGACUAGACAUUAAUUGAAAGCGUCCUGGCAUUUAAAGUAUGGAAUGAAAUAUAAUUCAUGUAAAAAAUGUUGAUUUUAACGGACACGACUUCGAAAAUUUUUGCAAAAUUAUUCAAAACAAAAAUUCAAACUAAAAAGUUAAGAAAACUCUCGAAAAGUUAAUCCUAAAGUUUAAUUAUUGUGAACACGAAAAAUUUUUAUAUUUGGCGACACAGUUUUUUUUUUAAAGAAAUGUAUCUCAAACGAAAAUUCGAAAAUUGUCGUUGCUUAGUUGAUAAACAAAAUGUUUUACACGAUAAAUUUGUCAACAAUCACCUUUAGUUCAUAUUCUUGUACAAUACAAUUUCUUGAAUCUUUUGGCUGUAUUUAUUCCUAGUUUUUAGAAUGACAUGUUUAUUUUUGCGCUCGAAAUCUGGCUGUAAAGACGCACAAUGAAGUCACUCCUUUUUACCGCCAUUUUGAGCCUCCGGAAACGUUCGGAACAGCUUCUCAUCAAGUUCGCAAUACUAUUACAGGUAAGGUUGACGCAUGCGCAGACGUUUUUCCGCGGUGUUUGUUCCCCCACUGAUGGAAUGUGUUGAUGCGCAGAAUAUAUGCGCAGAACGGACUUUACAGCAUCUUUAAAAUAUUGUUUGUAAAAAAAAAGUUUUACAUACACUUAAAAACGAGCAGAGGUGCUUUAUUUAAAAAAAAGAAACAGAGAAGUUCCUCUCUGUCUUACCAACUUCGAUUGCUGAGAAACGUUUUGUAGAGAAAAGUAUCGUCACAACCUGGAUCCGUACACAUGGUGUACGUUGUGGUUGACCCUGGGAAUAUGGAGAUUGGCUGUGUGACACGUUACAAUGACAAUAUGCAUUCUGAUAAAAUUUCUACCCGAAUCUAUUUUCAAAAUAGUCAAAAUAACUACUCGAACUAAAGUAAAUAACUUUUCUUGCUGUAAUUCAUUUAAUAAGUUGGCCAUAUCAAGGGUUUUCUGGGAAAAUGGCCAAUAUACUAUGGCCUACAUCUGUCCCUCUUUUCGCGUGAAAAACACACUCAAAGUUUACGUUGCAAAAUGUGACAUUUAAUCAGUGAAAAUUCACAUUUGCGUAUAAGCAAAAGUCAAACCUCUCACAGUUGAUUGCAAACGGUAGUAUACUUAUUUACGUUUUUAUUUUUUACUAGGACGUGAAAGAAGGUUGCAGUUCAUUAAAUUACAUUCAAGCACUAGACAUUAUAUUGUAAUGUCUUCAAUAAAAUCUACAAAAUAAUGCUGUUGAAGGGU